GACGGACGCUGGCGGCGUGCUUAACACAUGCAAGUCGAACGGAAAGGCCCUGCUUUUGUGGUGUUCUCGAUUGGCGAACGGGUGAUUAACACGUGAGUAACCUGCCCUUUACUUUGGGAUAACUUCAUGAAACUGUGGCUAAUACCGGAUAGGAGCUCCUGCUGCAUGGUGGUGUUUUGAAAUUUUCGGCGGGUGGGGAUGUUCUCGCGGCUUAUCAGCUUGUUGGUUGGGUAGUGGCUUACCAAGGCUUUGACGGGUAGCCGGCCUGAGAGGGUGACCGGACAAAAUGGGACUGAGAUACGGCCCAGAAUCCAAAGGGAGGCAGCAGUGGGGAAUAUUGAAAAAUGGGAGGAAGCCUGAUGCAGAAACGCGGCGAGCGGGAUGAAGGACUUCGGGGUGUAAACCGAUUUAGAAUGUGAGGAAGCGUGAGUGACGGUAAUGGGUAAAGAAGCACCGGCUAACUACGUG
rnacentral:rRNA from 1 species